UUUCGCGGCAAUAACCAGAACGAAAAUGCCUAAUGAUUUGAAAUUCUCUCGUCUUUGCAAUCUAGUCAAUGAUUCUAUUCAUCCGUACACCCUUCUAAUGGAUCUGCAGGAGGCGGAAGUGAUUUCUUUAACCACAGGCAAGGAGAAGGAUCUUCUAAUCUCUCUCUCAGAGGUUUGGAGAGAAAUUCAGCUUAUGAAACAAGAACUUGAUUAUGAUUCCGAUGAAGAAGCGGCUUGUGAAUCUGCUCGUGACAAGAAAUUUUCUGGUGAAUCAGAGCUGCAUCAUGAGGAUCAUAACUGUUUGUCCAAAAUCCUAGCUGAUUUAAUAUUUCUUUUGACAGUCGAGAGUCUAUUUGUACAUCAUCUGGUGGGCAACAUUCUUGUUGUCAUUUCUGAGUUUUUGAUGGCAUCUGCAAGUGAGUGGGAAUCUUUCAUUCAUUCAAUGUUCAUUUGUAUGGAGUUGGCAAUUAGCAAUGUGUCAUCUCACUCUCUGGCAGCUUCAACUAAUGGAGCUAGGGACUCAAAUUGUGAUUCGUCAAGUUUUGUUGUCUUAAAAUCUAGACUGCAAAAUGCUAACUGGUCUACAGCAGCUACAAUUAUUCGAGUUUUACGCAACACUUCAAAAUAUUUGAAGCAAGAGGAUGAUAACCAACUUCAUAAAACAUUCUUGGAUUCUGUCAGUUCUUUUCUUUUGAAUGUACCUUGGGAUUUCAUGGAUCAGAUCCAAGUUGGUCAGAGUGGUGGCACUAAAGGAAGCAAUUCUGGGAAUAGCCAUUUUGUACGUACUAUAUUUAGAAAUGUUGAUCAGAAGGAGACAGAGGUUGUGUUUCUUGGCAAUUUUAUUCAGUUCCUCUGUUCAUUGGUUGAGCAAAGCUGUGCUGUAGAAACUGAGAUUGGUUCACAACAUGAUCAUCCAGUUCUUUGUAUAAUCAUCAGUUCUGUGCCUAAACUUUUCUGUUGGUGCCUUGGCGAGCAAAGGAACUGUGCUGAAAUGCCCAUCUCUCAGUACUUCAGGCAUAAGUUGUUGAUGUUGAUGCUGAGGCUUAGUUAUCAGACUUGUCUAGGUUGCUCCACUCUCAUUUCAUGGUUGCGACUUCUUAAUAAUUAUUUCGAAGAGCUCUUGUGGAAACCCAUAAUCGAACUUGAGUUUGGUCAGGAUGAAUCCAUUGAAGGUUCUCCAUUUCUAUUGAGUCUUUCUGAUGGAGAAGUAAAUGGAGUCAAUUCUGAUCACUUAAGAAGGUGGGCUAUUCUCCUUUACCUGAGGUGUUGUUUUGGUUUGAUCAGCUUGACAAGGGACAGUAAUGAGCAAUGCGCAUGUGGUACUUGUAAAUCUUACUUGACUUUCGACUCAGGCUCAGACCUGAUUUGUUGUGGUAGAAAGAAAGGUUGCUUAGAGCUUUACAAAUGGCUUCAAGGACAUCUUCCAACUGACGUGUUUGUGGACCAUGAAACUAAUCUUGUAAAGUGUGUUGGCUUUGCCUUAUCUUUUCUCCAGCUGUAUAUGCAUGAGGAUGAUGUAUUGUUCAAGGUGCUUUUACAACUGCUUAGCAUUCAGUCCUGUUUAGAUCAACUGUCACAGGGAGGAAAAUGGACAUUUGAGGAUGUUAAAGAAGAUUUUGCUUUUCACUUUACAAGCAUUUUUAAUCCUGUAUACCUGUUCCAUCUAUUCCUUGCAGAGUUGCAUUAUGAUCACCAGGUGCUUCUUGAUUACCUUAUUUCUAAAGAUACAGGAAUCAGCUCUGCAGAAUAUCUUUUAAGGUGUUUGCGUAUAGUGUGCAAUUCGUGGCAGUUGUUUGUAACAUUUUCCAUGCAUGAGAAAGUUGUAAAUCAUUCAUCUUGCAAGAAAAGAAAAAUGGUUUUGCAUGGCUCUAAUCUUCAAGUGGAAGCAUCUUCUACACCAAUAAAAUACAUUCCCUCAGCAGUUGAAGAGAAAACAAAGGAAGACUUUAAAUAUAGCCACAAGCAUUGGAAAAACAUAAGUCCUCUGUUCAAGAAAGCCGAAAAUUGUUUGCUUUCAUUAAAAGGUGUUAUGGAGAAUCUCCAUCGAAAGAACUUGUUUCCAUAUAAUCCUGAAGUUCUGUUGAAACGUUUAACAAAAUUUCAGGAGCUAUGUUUUGAUUAAGAGAAUAUGGCUGUUCUUUUACUUCAGUUGCAGUAAAUUUUGCAUCUUUUGCUUUAAAAUCAAAUAGCAAAUCAGAAUCCUAUUGCUCUAACCAUUCUGGAGGCAUCAUGGUAUAGAAUACAUGUAAAGCAAACUAUUUACCAGAGUAGGUGGAAGGGCAUGGCUGGAAGAGUGCUUCAGCACCUCUUGAGUUCAUCAAUCAAAAUGGUUGAGGGGUACUUGUUAAGUAGUGUCAACCAUUUGACAGUUUGAUUGAAGCCCCGAGUAAAAACUAGCUGCCUGAUGGGAUUAUGUGAUCGACUAGAGCCUACCAGAACUACUUUGGAUAAACCAGAAUGAUGAGAUGAGAAGACAGUUUGCUUUGCUUUGCUCCUGAGGAACGUGGAGAGUGAAUGGGUAAAGUGGAAUGUUUUUGCAAGUGGAGACUUCUAGACACUUAAUAAGACUUUUAUUCUCAAACGAAGAAAGUGGAGAUAGAUUUUCUCAUUCUUUCUAGCUGGGAAUGCACCUUUUUCACCUUUUUUUUUUUUUUUUUCUCAUUGAAAACAGAGAUUGGAGGCAUAUAUUCUCACUCUCUAUUACUAAUUUAAUGACUCGACAAAUUUGCCCUCAUUUCUAUUAAGCAAAAACAGUGGUUAGUGGACAGAAAAACGUAAAAUUUGCUGAAGAUAUGUAUUGUUCAAAGAGGUCACUUGUAGCAGUUCUCCCCAAUUGAGGAUUUAAUUUUGGCAUCGUCAGCCAUUUGAACAAUCCUCCCCAACAGAGGUGA